CUGAGUACUACACUCUCUACCCUUUGUGAACUAUUAUACCUGUUGCUUCGGCGGCGCCCGCAAGGGUGCCCGCCUGGUCUCAUCAGAAUCUCUGUUUUCGAACCCGACGAUACUUCUGAGUGUUCUUAGCGAACUGUCA
rnacentral:misc_RNA from 1 species